rnacentral:lncRNA from 1 species
CCCAGGGAUCUUGCUGAAGUUGGUAACAGAGACUUUCGCAGGUAAACACUGAGUGCAAACACUUGCAUUUGGUUGUAGUCUUGGCUGGCUCUCCUCCUAGACACCGCAGAAGUGGGCUGUGUCCUUUCUGUGUGCUUUGGGCUUUCUUUACCUGUGCUGCUGUGAUUGUGAUCUGCCUGCCAUGCAGGAUCAUCCACUGUAGAAGAUGGACAGUCUGAGGCUGAGAGAGGGCUAGUGAUUUCUCGGACACUUGGGCAAUAGUUUCCAGAACAUCUGUGAAGCCUAAACCCCAUGAUCCACACUGGACACCUCUACUAAAGAGUACUACCCAGGAACACUCUGGGCCCCUGGAGCUUCUUCUCGAAAACCAGAGUUGGUUGGGCUUUACAGUGCAAGCCAAGAAACACAGA